rnacentral:rRNA from 1 species
AGGGCACCACCAGGAGUGGAGCCUGCGGCUUAAUUUGACUCAACACGGGAAAACUCACCCGGCCCGGACACUGGAAGGAUUGACAGAUUGAGAGCCCUUUCUUGAUUCAGUGGGUGGUGGUGCAUGGCCGUUCUUAGUUGGUGGAGUGAUUUGUCUGGUUAAUUCCGAUAACGAACGAGACUCUAGCCUAUUAAAUAGAUCGUUGGCUUACAAACGCCGGCGAGACUUCUUAGAGGGACAGGCGGCGAUUCAGCCGCACGAAACAGAGCAAUAACAGGUCUGUGAUGCCCUUAGAUGUCCGGGGCCGCACGCGCGCUACACUGAAGUGAUCAGCGUGCAUUUUGAAACCUACUCUGUCAAGAGUGGGGAACCCAAUGAACCUUCUUCGUGAUUGGGAUAGGGGAUUGUAAUUAUUCCCCUUGAACGAGGAAUUCCCAGUAAGCGCGAAUCAUAAGUUUGCGCUGAUUACGUCCCUGCCCUUUGUACACACCGCCCGUCGCUACUACCGAUUGAAUGUUU